GAUGAACGCUGGCGGCGUGCCUAACACAUGCAAGUCGAACGGAGUCCAGCCUUUAAGACCUUCGGGUCAAAGAGGGGAAGACUGAGUGGCGGACGGGUGAGUAACACGUGGGCAACCUGGCUCAUAGAGGGGGAUAACAGAGAGAAAUUUUGCUAAUACCGCAUAAGCACACACUGCCGCAUGGCAGAGGGUGAAAAGAGAAUCGCUAUGAGAUGGACCCGCGUUGAUUAGCCAGUUGGCAGGGUAAGAGCCUACCAAAGCGACGAUCAGUAGCCGAUUGAGAGGAUGAACGGCCACAUUGGGACUGAGACACGGCCCAAACUCCUACGGGAGGCAGCAGUGGGGGAUAUUGCACAAUGGGGGGAACCCUGAUGCAGCGACGCCGCGUGAGUGGAGAAGUAUUUCGGUAUGUAAAGCUCUAUCAGCAGGGAAGAUAAUGACAGUACCUGAAUAAGAGCCCCGCA
rnacentral:rRNA from 1 species